rnacentral:rRNA from 1 species
GACGAACGCUGGCGGCGUGCUUAACACAUGCAAGUCGAACGGAAAGGCCCUGCUUUUGCGGGGUGCUCGAGUGGCGAACGGGUGAGUAACACGUGAGUAACCUGCCCUUGACUUUGGGAUAACUUCAGGAAACUAGGGCUAAUACCGGAUAGGAGCUCCUGCUGCAUGGUGGGGGUUGGAAAGUUUCGGCGGUUGGGGAUGGACUCGCGGCUUAUCAGCUUGUUGGUGGGGUAGUGGCUUACCAAGGCUUUGACGGGUAGCCGGCCUGAGAGGGUGACCGGGGGCAUUGGGACUGCGGGACGGCCCAGAGGCGUACGGGGGGAAGCAGUGGGGAAGAUGGAAGAGGGGGCGGGCGUGUGAUGCGGAGGCGCCGGGUGCGGGAUGACGGGUGACGGGGGGGAAACCGCAUUAGCCUGAGACGAAGCGGGAGUGACGGUAAUGAGUAAAGAAGCACCGGCUAACUACGUG